GUGGAUUUGUUGGUCAGCAUUCGGAAUUCAGAGGAAUGGCUCUGACUGGAGAUGUAAAUUUAGAAGUCAUUGGUAUGUGGAUGGUACUUACAGCCGCAAGACUGAGUUCAACCAGAGGAAGCAUGUAGAUAAAACAGAGAAGCAGCUCAGGAGCACUCCAGAAUCCAGCAGCCAGGAGAUAAGGAAGAAUCAGCAAAGGAGGCAGAAAAGAAGAGAAGACAGGCAUAGUGAUUGAAGAUGUACAGAGUCUUCCUCUUCAGAUCCAGGUGUCUCUUCCGAAUGUCCUCUGGUCAUUUUGACACCCAUGGCUCUAGCCCUGUAGCUGGAACCAUGGAAGGUGCAGAAGAGAAAAAUAGAUGGUCACUGCUAUGCCAGGAACCCUUAAGAAAAAGAAAAAAAAAACCCUCACAGAACUAAACCUCAACUUAAGAAAGAAGUUGGCCCAAAAGAUGUUUUGAAAGGCAAGGAAAAACUUAUCUAUGAUAAAGUUCCCAAGUUUGACUAUGCCUGGCACACUGAAAAGAUGGAGUUUUCAAAUAGACAGGACUGAGCAGUGGAGUUUGGGCUGCAGUGACUUCCCCAAGACUGCUGCCACUUGGGUGAGUCCUCCGGGCCUCCCCACUUGUGGGGACAGUGUGAAAGAGUACUCGGUAAAAUGUGUGGUCCAGAGUGGUGCACC
rnacentral:lncRNA from 1 species